GAUGCUAUUAAACAGUUUAAAAAGGAAAACGAGUUUGAGCCGCUUCUGGUUUGUAUGGUAACUGUUCUGUUGGCUGAGAAAAAAUACUACGAGUUAUACCUAGGCUUUACGCCACAUCUUCCAGAACGAUACAGGAAAACGUAUAUUCAAAAAUACUCGGAUAUCACCGGGGAAGAUAUACCUGAAGAAUACGAAAAACGUAAACGGAGUGAGGAAAUGAAUCCCCACAAUAAAAAGAUACGUUCACUUCGAUAGUGAUAGCUAAAUUAUGGAGUUGUUGUGGUUUUUGUAACUGUAGAGUUUGCAACCUCGUAUCCAUGGUCUUU